CCUACGGGAGGCAGCAGUGGGGAAUAUUGGACAAUGGGCGCAAGCCUGAUCCAGCCAUGCCGCGUGUGUGAAGAAGGCCUUCGGGUUGUAAAGCACUUUUAUCCGGAAAGAAAAGCUUUGGGUUAAUACCCUGAAGUCAUGACGGUACCGGAAGAAUAAGCACCGGCUAACUUCGUGCCAGCAGCCGCGGUAAUACGAAGGGUGCAAGCGUUACUCGGAAUUACUGGGCGUAAAGCGUGCGUAGGUGGUUUGUUAAGUCUGAUGUGAAAGCCCUAGGCUCAACCUGGGAAUUGCAUUGGAUACUGGCAGGCUAGAGUGCGGUAGAGGAUAGUGGAAUUCCCGGUGUAGCAGUGAAAUGCGUAGAGAUCGGGAGGAACAUCUGUGGCGAAGGCGACUAUCUGGGCCAGCACUGACACUGAGGCACGAAAGCGUGGGGAGCAAACAGGAUUAGAUACCCUGGUAGUCCACGCCCUAAACGAUGCGAACUGGAUGUUGGGUGCAACUAGGCACUCAGUAUCGAAGCUAACGCGUUAAGUUCGCCGCCUGGGGAGUACGGUCGCAAGACUGAAACUCAAAUGAAUUGACGG
rnacentral:rRNA from 1 species